rnacentral:lncRNA from 1 species
CCUUUGCUCAGGGAAGCCCAUACUAUUCAAGAAAAGAAUGAGAAAGUGCACUGGGGUUCAUCUUGCUUUUCAUGGAUGGAGCUCAUAGACAGAUGCCUGGUUCUCCAGAAGUUGGCCAAGGAGCAGCUCCUCCGUGUGAGUGUGCGUGUACACGCGCGUGUUCCGCCCCUGCCUGCUCCUCCUGACAGAUAGCUGGGCCUGGGCCUGAGUUUGAUUCAUUUCUACUGAAAAAACAACUCCAACCUGAAGAUAAGCAUUCGCUCAAGCAAGAUUGCAGGGUGAGAUAAUGCCAGGUUUGCAAUGAGUUCAUUUUAACUGGUGACUUAUUCCACCCAAGUGUUCUUGUGUGUGAGAAACUGAGUUCAGAUCUGGGAGCGGGGCAGCGGGGGAGGGGGGAGGCAGGGGUUGUGCAAGGGAGUCUGGAAAAGCAGCUAAGUCCUCCAGGAGAGCCCAGGGCUUCCUACUGCAAACGCCCAGGAGCCCAGACCCUCGGCAGGAAGCAGAGGUCAGGGGGCCACUGCUGGGGGCGGCCUCUGAGAGCCAUCCAUUCUGUGGUGGGCGUUUUCUGUGGUUGAGGCAUCUAGCUUCCUUUCUUAGGUUUGUUUCUGCGUUCUGAGUCUUAAUUCCCCGAUGUGGGAACUAGAUGUCUACUUUAUCAGCCUCCCUCUCCCCACCCCACACACCUUGCAACUAAAUGAGGAGUUGUGACUUGGGCUCCUUCCAUGAGACACCCCCAAAGUAGACUUUGAUCUUGAAUGCAUUGUAUGAGGAAGGUGGCACAGCAAGGGAGGUCUGGUGGAGUCAGCAUGUGGCACAUUCAGGUGGUGAUGGCAGAGGCAUCUCCACUGAGGUGGGCCUGUGGAGGCCCUGGAAUGGUAUUUUUGUUGUUCUGGGUGGCAGAGCUUCUGUGUCUGCCCCUCUAACCAUCCGAAAUUUGUCAUCUACUCAAUGUCCUUUACAUUUGCUAAGAUUUGCUUAAUGGCCUGGGAUCUAUCUUAGUAUAUGUUCUGUGAAUGCUUCAAUGUGCAUUCUUCUGUUGCUGGAUGCAGUGGACUCUAAAUGUUGAUUAGAUUCCACUGGUAGAUGGUGGUGUUGAGUUCAUCAAUAUUGUUGAUAUUCUGUCUUAUUGCUCUAUUGUUCAUUGAGAGAGGGGUGCUGAUGUCUCCAACUGUAAUUGUGGAUUUGUCUAGUUCUCCUUUCAAGUCUUAUUGGUAAUUUGCUUCACCUGUUUUGCAGCUCUCUUGAUUGGUACAUACACUUUUGGGAUUGCUAUGUCUUUUUUGUGGAUUGACACUUUAAAUCAUUGUGUAAUAUCCUUUCCUGCCUCUGGUAGUUUUCUUUGUUGAAAUUUACUUUAUCAGAUUUUAAUAUAGCCACCUGCUUUCCUUUGAUGAAAGUUUGCAUGACAUAUCCUCUCCUAUCUUUUUUUAAACUUUCAACCUACCUAUAGGACUGCAUUUGAAAUGAUACAGCAUAUAGUUGAGUCAUUUUUUUUUUCUUGGUUUUUAGGGCCAUACCUGCAGCAUAUGGAAGUUCCCAGGUUAGGGGUCUAAUCUGAGCUAUGGCUGCUGGUCUGCACCACAGCUACAGCAAUGCAGGAUCCAAGCCACAUCUGCAACCUACACCAUAGUUCGCAGCAACACCAGGUCCUUAACUCACUGAGUAAGGCCAGGGAUUGAACCCGUAUCCUCAUGGAUACUAGUCAGAUUUGUUUCCACUGAGCCAUGAGGGGAAAUCCUGAGCCCUGUUUUUAUUUAUUUAUUUAUUUAUUUAUUUUAUUUUUUUGUCUUUUUGCUAUUUCUUGGGCCGCUCCUGCGGCAUAUGGAGGUUCCCAGGCUAGGGGUCGAAUCGGAGCUGCAGCCACCAGCCUACGCCAGAGCCACAGCAACGAGGGAUCCCAGCCGCGUCUGCAGCCUACACCACAGCUCACAGCAACGCUGGAUCGUUAACCCACUGAGCAAGGGCAGGGACCGAACCCGCAACCUCAUGGUUCCUAGUCGGAUUCGUUAACCACUGCGCCACGACGGGAACUCCUGUUUUUAUUUUUUUAAUUUUUAAAUUUAUUUUUAGUAUUUAUAGAAUAGAUUUCAUUUUAUUGAAUCAUAACUUCCAUAUAUGCAUUUCCCAGAUUACACCAGAAAAAAAAGUUCUGAACUUGAAAUCCUAUUCAGAAGCCUGAAAGGCAUUAAGCCACCAUGACGAUGUCUUCUGUGAGUUGAUUUUCCAUCUUUCCAGAUGAACUCAAACCUAACUCCUUCUUGACAGGGAAGGAAGGAAUAAGGUUUUUAUAAAGAAAUGACUAGAAUUCACUAGAGUAUACCUAUACCAAUGUCUUUAACAGGACAUGCCAAGACGUGUAGCAUUGUGACACAACUUGCACAAACCCCACACAAGUUCAGCCGAACCAUGUUUUUAAAUCCACUCUGAUGAUCUCUCUUGUUUAAUCUCCGUAUUUUGACAUUUACAUUUAGUGUAGUUAUUGGUAUCAUAGUCCUUAAGUAUACCUAUUUAUUUCCUCUUUUCUGUUUGUUUUGUGUCUGUUUUAUUUUAUCUACCUCCCUAUGGGUUAUUUGAAUAUAUUUUUUUUAAUUGCAUUUUGACUUACCUGUCAUGUUUUUGACUGUGUCUCUUUGAUAGGUCUUUUGGUGAUUGCUCUAGAUAUUACCUUGUAUAUACAUAACUUAUCAGUCUACUGGUAUCGACAUUCACCAGUUCAAGUGAAGCAUAGCAACUUAUUUCCCUGUGAGUCCCUUUACCCUUCCCAUUUAUAAUACAAUUGUAUAUAUUUCAUCCAAAUGCAUUUAGGACCACAUCAGAUAAUAUCAUAAUUUUUGCUUCAACCAUCAAACAUAAUUUAGAAAACUGAAGAGGAGAAGGACUAUUGUAUUUACCCCAAAUUUUGCUCUCCCCAUGUUCUUUCUUCCUUCCUACUAUGCCAAGAUUCCUUCUUUUGUCACCUUCUUUCUGUUUAGAGAAAUUUUUUUUUAUUUUUAUUUUUUUAUUUUCCCACUGUACAGCAAGGGGAUCAAGUUAUCCUUACAUGUAUACAUUACAAUUACAUUUUUUCCCCCACCCUUUGUUCUGUUGCAACAUGAGUAUCUAGACAUAGUUCUCAAUGCUACUCAGCAGGAUCUCUUUGUAAAUCUAUUCUAAGUUGUGUCUGAUAAGCCCAAGCUCCCGAUCCCUCCCACUAGAGAAAAUUUUUAAGCCAAUAUUUUUGGAUAAGUCUGCCAGUGACACAUUCUCUCAGUUUCCUUCAUCUGAGAAUGUCUUGAUUUCUCAUUCAAUCCUGAAGGGUAUUUCUGCUGGAUUCUGAGUUGGCAUUUCUUUUUUUCCCCCACAUUUAAAUAACAUUGUGCCACUCCCCUCUGGUCUCCAUAGUUUCUGGUGAGAAAUUCACUAUAAUGUAAAUUGUUUUUCCUUUUAUAGGUAAGAUGUUGUUUCUCUUUAGCUGCUUUAAACAUUUUAGAAUUUACUUUUAGUUUUCAAAAGUUGGACUAUGACGUACCUGGAAUGGAUUUCUUUGGGUUUAUCCUGGUUGGGGCUUGCCACUCAGCUUCUUGAAUCUGAGAUCUAUGUCUUUUGCCAAAUUUGGAAAGUUUUUUUUUGCCAUUAUCUCCUUGAAUGCUUUUCCAGUCCUGUCCUUUUCUUCUCUGCUUCUGGGACUCUGAUAGUUUGAAUGCUAGAUUUUUUGUUCCACAGCCUCUGAGGCUCUGUUGAUUUUUUCAUUCUAGUCUAUUUCUCCCUGUUUUUCAUGCUGAAUUAUUUCUAUUAUUCUAUCUUCAAGUUUAGUGAUUCUUUUGUUAUUGUUGUUCCCUCCAUUCCACUGUUGAACUCAUCCACUGAGUCUUUUAUUUCAGUUAUUAUAUUUUCUCAGUUCUAAAAGUCCAUUUGGUUCUUUUUUCUAUCUUCUGUUUAUUUGUUGAAGCAUUCUAGUUCUUUGAUGAAACUUCCUAUUUUUUCCACUUGUUUCGAUCAUGUUCCUAAUUGCUCAUCGUAGCACGUGUAUGAUGUCUGCUUGAGAAUCCUUGUCCUGUAAUUCUAGUGUUUCUGUUGUUUUGGUGUUGGCCUCUAUUGUCUCUUUUACAUUCAAGUUGAAAUUUUCUUUGUUCUUCAUAUGAAGGGUUAUUUUCUAUUGAGAUUGGACAUUUUAGUUAUUAUGUUAGGAUACUUUGGAUCUUAUUUACAUCUUAUGUUGUGGCUGACUUUUGUGAAUGUUGCUCUGGCAGGGGAAGGGGGAAGUGCUGCCUUGUUCCUGCCAGGUGGGGGUAGAAAUCCAGGUCUCCACUUGGCCUCUGUUGACACCUGAGUAGGGUAGGAUUCCUCAGUUACUAGGGUGGAGAUGGGGGUUCUGGUUCCCUCUGGGCCUUCACUGAAACCCUGUGGCUGCGAGGGUAGGAGUGCCUUGUUACUGCUCACCACGUGUCCUCCACUGACACUACAGUGAAAGGAGGUGGCCUCCUUCCCUUGGGGUAGUGAUGAAGUCCUGACUCCUCCCUAGGCCCCUUCUAAUACCACCCCAGUGGGGAGGGGACAGAAUAGCUUGAUAAUUCUAAGUGGAGAUGGAAGUUCAGCUCCCCAUGAGGGCUCUACUGACACCUGAUGGGUCAGGUGCUUGUUACUAUUUAGUGGGAUUAAGGCUCCAGCUACUUACUUCACCUUCUCUGACACCACACUGGCAGGAGGGCUGGGGACCCUAUUACAACCUGGGGAGGGUGAAAGCUUAGGUUCCUCAUUUUGCUUUUGCUGGCCUGGGUGUGGGUAGUCACGAUUUUUUCUGUGAUGUUUGGCAGAAGUAGAACCAUAAUUGUCUAACUAUUUUCUGGCUUGCUAUCCUUUCCUGACUCUUAGCUAGAGAGAAGAGGUUUUUAUUGGGGCUUAUUUAUGUCUAUGCUCAUUUGCAUUUCUGGGUUACAAGUUUCUUCAGCUCCCACUCUGGGAUAUAUAAGAAAAAAAUAGCAAACAAAAACUCACUUCUAUGUCCUUCCUUGGGUCUCAAGUCCCUAGCCUCUUUGCUUUCCUCUCCCUACCUUUCAGAAUUUUCCUAGGAUUAUUUUACAUAGAAUAUCUAUGGCUUUUAGUGUACUUAGCGGGAGGAAUAGGAAGAAGUAGAUCUACUCAACCUUCCCAGAAGUGGAGUCUCAAUAAAUAUCUUUUAAUAAACUCCCUUUCUGCACUCACUGGCCCUAGUGGGCUCUGUUGUUGCAGUGAAGAACCUGAUUGGUGCCCUUUGAGAAGGGCAGGGCCACAGGGGAGCUAUCUCCCAAAGCAGGCACACUGGACUUGUCAGUAAGCUUCCGGAAUCAGUAAUUGCCCAUGACUGGUUUUCCUCUAAACAAACAGCUUAUCUCCUGAAUACAACCAAAAUUUUUUCCCAUUGCUUUCUUUUAUUAAAACAAUAAUAUUUGUUCUUUGUAGAAAAUAUCAGAGAGCAUCUCACACCAGUACAAAUAUAUAUAUAUGUGUGUGUGUGUAUAUAUAUGUGUGUGUGUAUAUAUAUGUAUUUGUGCGUGUGUAUAAUGAGAUUAUGCUGUAAAUUUGGCUCAGUAAUCUGCUUUUUCACUUAACCAGUGAAAGUGAAAUCUUGAUAUUUUCCGACACCAAUAAGUAUAGUUUAGAUCAUCACUUUUUAAUGGUUGCAUAAUAUUCCAUUGCAAGGGCAUCAUUAUUUACAUAUCUUUUUUCUUCCAUUGUUGAACAUGUAGAUGGUUUCCAAUACACUUUUUCAUUGUAAACUGUGUGGAACAUCUUUGUAGAUAAUCAUUGUGUGCUGGUCUAACUAUCUUAAGAUAACCCCCCAGAAAUGGAAGUGCUGGGUUGUAGGGGAGACCUGUUUUUUAAAAGAGAACAUUUGAUACAUAUCUUUACACAGCCUUCCCAUCCUGCUUGUAGUUCUAGUGUUGUUUCCUGGCUCUCACUCUGCUCCAGAGUUUUCCUAUUCGUAGAGCAUUCAUGGUGUCCCAGCUUCAGUAUUUCCCCAUCCACCUGCCCACUAGUACUAGCUGGGGCAGAAUAACAUCUGAUGAAUUAAUGCAUAUGUUGUGACACCCUCCAUACUCAACUUCUUCACAUUCUGAGGACCUUUCCCAUCCAAGCCAUGGUGGAACUUCCAAACUAAGGUGGCACAUAUUUAAAGUUCAAGUGCUGAGGGCGUUUCCCUGGUGGUCUAAUGGUUGGGGAUUUGGCAUUGUCACACUGUGGCUCAGGUUACUGUUAAGGCUCGGGUUUGAUCCAUGGCCCAGGAGUUUCCACAUGCAAAAAAAAAAAAAAAAAAAAAAAAAAAAAAA